rnacentral:rRNA from 1 species
UCUUUAUAAUUUUAAAUAUCUUAUAUUUUAUUUUUAUUAUUAUAAAAUUUAAAAUAAUUUAAAUUAUUUUAUUGGGGCGAUAAAAAAAUUUAUAAAACUUUUUAAAUAAAAAAACUAAAAUUAAAGAAUUAAGUUAAAAUUGAUCUAUUAUUAAUAAUUACAAGAAAAAGA